rnacentral:Y_RNA from 1 species
GGCUGGUCUGAAAGCAGUGAGUUGCCUUAACUGAUUGUUCAGUCAGUUACAGAUCAAACUGCUUGUUCUACUCUUUCACCCUUUCCCACCCCUUUUUCACUGUUCCACUUGACUAGUCAUAA